CAGUAGCCGCGGUAAUACAGAGGGUGCGAGCGUUAAUCGGAUUUACUGGGCGUAAAGCGUGCGUAGGCGGCUAAUUGAGUCGGAUGUGAAAUCCCCGAGCUUAACUUGGGAAUUGCAUUCGAUACUGGUUAGCUAGAGUGUGGGAGAGGAUGGUAGAAUUCCAGGUGUAGCGGUGAAAUGCGUAGAUAUCUGGAGGAAUACCGAUGGCGAAGGCAGCCAUCUGGCCUAACACUGACGCUGAGGUACGAAAGCAUGGGGAGCAAACAGGAUUAGAUACCCCUGUAGUCCCUGUCUCUUAUAA
rnacentral:rRNA from 1 species